rnacentral:tmRNA from 1 species
GGGGGCGAUAGGUUUCGACGGGAUGAACUGAUUCCAAGGGAAGCAUACCGAGGCCUGGGGACUCGUUAAAACACCAGAAAAAAAUAGUCGCAAACGACUAUAAUUACGCUCUGGCUGCUUAAGGCAGCCGGCGUCUCUUAGGCCUGUUCCUGCCGGAUUUAAGAGACGACAAUCAGCAGGAUGGCUUUUGGGGCUCGGUCCGAAGGACCUGAAGGCAAGAUUUAAACGGACUGGUUUCCUGGUUUGAUGCCUGUAACGAACCAUGAAGCGAGAAAAAUCUACAGGCUAAGUAUGUAGAUGCCCUGGAUAAGCAUUCCCGGACGUGGGUUCGAUUCCCACCGCCUCCACCA